AAUGCAAAUAAGGAGGGACUAGGAAAUGAGUGGAAUUGGGAUGCAUGAUCUGAAAUUCUCAAAGAAUCAAUAAAGAAAUUAUGUAAAAAAU